AGUAGGAUAAGCUAAAUAACCAAGCUGUUGGGCCCAUAACCCAAAAAUAGAGAUUCUUUCCUAUUA
rnacentral:tRNA from 1 species